rnacentral:rRNA from 1 species
AUUGAACGCUGGCGGCAGGCCUAACACAUGCAAGUCGAGCGAGAGGCGGACGGGUGAGUAAUGUAUGGGGAUCUGCCUGGUAGAGGGGGAUCACUAAUGGAAACGGUGGCUAAUACCGCAUACUAUCGGAUGAACCCAGAUGGGAUUAGCUAGUGGGUGGGGUAAAGGCUCACAAAGGCGACGAUCUCGAGCUGGUCUGAGAGGAUGAUCAGCCACACUGGGACUGAGACACGGCCCAGACUCCGACGGGAGGCAGCAGUGGGGAAUAUUGCACAAUGGGCGCAAGCCUGAUGCAGCCAUGCCGCGUGUAUGAAGAAGGCCUUCGGGUUGUAAAGUACUUUCAGCGGGGAGGCGUUACCCGCAGAAGAAGCACCGGCUAACUCCGUGCCAGCAGCCGCGGUAAUAC